CUUCACCCCACAUGGAGCCCUAACAAUGAAAAUUUACUUGUGUGUAUAUUAGGAUAUUAUCCCUUUUGAUCAUUUAAAUAGAUAUGGAUAGUGAUAGAAAUCUGUGUGUGUGUGUGUUUUUUUAAGGUAUUGCCAUCAGAGAGUCAGCAAAGGUAGUUGACCAAGCCCAAAGGAGAGUGUUGAGGGGAGUUGAUGACCUUGACUUUUUCAUAGGAGAUGAAGCCAUCGAUAAACCUACAUAUGCUACAAAGUGGCCGAUACGACAUGGAAUCAUUGAAGACUGGGAUCUUAUGGAAAGGUUCAUGGAGCAAGUGGUUUUUAAAUAUCUUCGAGCUGAACCUGAGGACCAUUAUUUUUUAAUGGCCAUCCAGGACAUGUGCAAGCCAGCGACACUAUGGGCAGCUCUGGGAGCCAGUUUAUAUACCAACUCCUGAUGGUACGUCCAGCCUGCUGCCCAGGAAGGAAGCCAGUGCUGGCACCUGGAAGGCGCCUGGCGUGUAUGGGAGCACCAAGAGCAUGGGGAGAUGCACUGCAGCAGGCAGCACAGACCUACAGUCUGUUAUCACAGUCUCGCUCUCUGUAAUAAGCAGGUUAAUAAGGACUCUGGUCAUCUGCCCUCAUCUUCCAGUGCUACAAGUCAAGCAAAACUGUGGUGCCUGCCAGCUGAUUUCAUUCCCGGAAGCCCAAAGCUUUACCAGCAGGUCACUUCCAGCACACAGAUAAGGAGAUUAGCCACGCCUCUCACUUCACCUCCAGCUCCUCACUGUUCCAGAAUUACCAACUAUCCUAUUUCUGUUCAAAGCAGCCAAAAUUAACUGAGGGCUGCUCUUUGAGGGCUUCUGCAGGGAGCGUGGACCCUAUGGCCAGCAGGAGCAGCACCUCCCUCCCUCCCUCCCUCCACUAAAAACCUGUGGCGUCCCUGUUACAGAAUGGAAUGUGCUAGAUCUCUCAGGGAUGCUGAGGUACGAAACAGUUCGGGAAGACAGAACCAGAAGACGGUUCGGGAAGCCUGGGAUCAGAGUGGAGAACGACAGAGCUCUUCAGCAUGGUCCUUUGGUUUCCGAAGCAGUGCCUGGCACCUCAUGAUGGCUCAAUGCUCGUCAUUCAUUGCCACUAUGAAAUAUUCCUGAAGGGCGUUUCCUCCAGGCUGUGGUACUGUCUGGAGAAUUAUCGUGGCUCCCUGCUCAAGCCUAUGACUCUAGGGCCACCAUCUCUGACCUCGGCACCAUCCACCCCCAGCAAUGCGCAGAUUGGACGAGGGCUCGCUAGAGACUUCAUCCUGCACGCAGGCGCUGCCCUCUGUUGGCCAUACUCUUUGUGUGCAGCUUAACUUUUCUUGGUUACCUUUACUUUUUUUUCUCAGUGGCUUUGUCCUCUGUCUCAGCGUGGCCUCCAAGGCCACUUCCUGCUCUGCCACUUGGUAUGGUUCAGGGCUGCCCUGCUCUCAGUCACGGCCCAUUUUUAGAGCUUUUUUGCAUCGUGUAGGUCCGUGAGCAUCUGUGUCAGAGGCUGAUAUUUACUGAUGUGCCUCCCACAUUGGGGAUGGUGUUGGGGGCACGGGUGGGGUUUGAAACUGAUAACUCUAACAGAAGUUGGGUACAUAGUGACUGUGUCCAAACCCCUGCACCAAGAGACUGGACCAACCCUAGCAUGGCUUCUGGCAGCCCAAAGCGGCAUCCCUGGGACCACCUGGCCACCCUUUGAGUUCCUGUCUGAAAAAGCUCAAGGCCGUCAAAAUCAUUUAGUGUUUGUUCCUACCAACACCUGACAACAGGCCUCUGACCACCCCCUCACUUUCUUAGAGCAUUUACGUUAAAAACACUUAGAGUCGUACCUCCUUCCCUUGUCCCUUUGAGAUGUACAUGCAUGUGUGUCCAGGAGUGUCUUUCUCAAGAGCCUGAGAGCCAGUCCUUUGAAAUGGCAUCAUCAGGAAGGAUGGGGCCUGUCUCCCAGGCUCUGGGGGAGGCCAGAACCUAACUUCCAUCACUGCCAGCUGGCACACACAGCUGGCCCGGCCACAAUAACACAGACAGCCCUUUGUAAUUUUUCACUCCCAUGAUUCCUGAGCCCUGGAAUGCCCUUUCCCGACUCCUACGUUCUCCCAUUAAACUGUCCAGUCCCCCUGCACAGAUCUGAAUGGAGCUCAGCUUCUCCCCUGUCAGUGGUUAAUGAAUAAGGUCUGUUUUCGUAGCUUUAACUAAGGUCCAGCUUAGUUUAUCUUUGACAGACCUACUUACCCUGCAGGUUCCCACCUCGGGCCUGGAGGGAAAGCCUCUGGGAGGAACACGGUCCUCACCAAAGGGUGGGAGACCAGAUCGUGCCAGGGAGUGGAGUGGACAUGAGCUCUGGGACCCUCUCCUCUCUCCCGGAAUGGCUGCACAGGAAGGAAGGAUGGAAGAUGUGAGAAAGGCCACCCUGCCUGGGAAGGAGCUACCAGCCCUCAGCAGUCCAGAGGCUGCCCAGAGAGCAGCGAGCAGCUCUCCAGGACUCCACCUCCCAGGCCCAGAGGAUGCCACCCAGGGGGCUCAGUGAGAAUUCAGCCACAGCCACACACAUCCCGGGAGAGUGUCUAAAGAUGCCACCAAUCCAAUAUCACAGAAGGCAAGAACCCAAAGAGCAGAAGCCGAGACAAGGAAGUAGCCAUUUUGGAUACAUGCCCCCCACCCCAAUCCUGGGCCAACGUGGAUCUUCAGCAUCCUGAACCUGAAGCCCCCAUGGUGGGCCUGUGGCGGGCUGGGUGUGGCUUCAGAGGUGCAGCGGCAGGAACUGGCAGAGUGGUUCCCCCAGGCCCAGGGCUGACCCACAGCGACAUGGGAAAAUGGGCCCAGUAGGUCCCUCCUUGUUUAGCUCCCUUUGGUCUUUCCAGGUCCAGCUUCACUGGGUCCACGGGGUCCCCAUCCUGAGGUCACUGUGUUUCUCACCCCCCACCUGCCCACUCGCUCCCAGCCCACUGCAGUCUGACUUUACUGCCCAUCACCAAAGAUGCCAGCUGACCUUGACUUCUUGGGGGUAGAGGACAAUGGGGGUCUGUGUUACCUCAACCACUCUCUCCUGUUGAACCUCUCAUCCUCCUGAGUGACACUCACCUGGUUGUCUUCCGGCUACCUGCAACCUCCCGGCAUCCUCCACAGGCCACCUUCACCCACCCACCCCGUGAACUCACACUCCUUGGGGUUCUCUUCUGGGUUUUUCUCACUCUGAACCCCCUGAGCAACCUGCACCCCUCAGGGAUCACCGGUUAUUUAUGCCGAUGGCUCCAACUCUGCCUCCUGCAGCCUCAUCUUCCUCCUGACCAUCCGCCCCACCGCCCAGCCAGCCACUACCUACACUUCCACGGGGUGCCCUGGACACACACGACUCACCAGGAAACAAAGGAACACCUCAGCUCCCACAGCCACUCUCAGACCUGCCCCUGCUGCACUCCCCACCACGGGCAGCCUCGGUCUCUAUGGGUCACAGCCAAGCAGCUCCCCCCUCGCUUCUCUGUCCUCACCACUUCCACCAGGGGCCCUAAUAAAGAUGUCAAACCAGCCUGCCGUCCACUGUGCAGCUUGUAGAGAUAGAUAAUGCUAGAAAUCCAGUUGGCCAUGUCACGGCCCUGCUUUAAAUCCCUUUCACGGCUCCCAUGGCCCUUGGGAUCCAUCCAAGCUCCUCAGCUGGCUUUCCGCCCUCAGUGCUCUGGUGCCUCCAUUGUGCGUCUUCCAGUCCCGCCCCACCCUCCUGUCCCUCCAGGGAAGUUCUUUCAGCUCUGCCCUGGGCUACAGGCUGGGCUGGAGGGCUGGGCUCCCUCUGCCCAC
rnacentral:lncRNA from 1 species